UUGCGCGUGGAACCAGACGAGGCCUUGCUCGCCCCGCUCGCCUGAGUUAGUGGGAGUGACAGACCCUAAACUACCAGUAAACACAUCAGCAGGGGCUGCAGCUGGUGCCGAAAGGGGCCCCUGAGCCGCAUUUCCCGUGCGUCGCUCCUCCGCAGUUUGGUCUCACCCUCGGGUGGGAUGACCAGCUUGUCCCGGUCCGCCCAGCACUGUCCCAGUUCAGACCUGCAAGUCCUGCCAGUCAGCACCGCCCAUCACCCUGCCCUCAGCCAGAACCAUCCCUGCCAGAGACGGAGAAACCGAGGCCUGAGACACAGGCAGGUCUCCCAGGGUUGGGGGGCUGGGGGGGCAGUUAGAGAGCUGGAGGUCCCAGCUGAGAAUCCAGGGCUCUUUCAGGCUACGGGCCCUGAAAUGAGACAUGGCCGGGACCCCCUCGCGGCCAGGUCCUGGGACGCACGGACACACCUGCAGGCCCGGGAGGGGCUGCAUCGCUGCUGCCGGGUGGCGGCCCCCGCCCUUUUGAAGCAGAGACCCCAGGACCCUCCGGGAAGCUCAGCCCCCACCGGCUCCCAGAAAAACAUUGCUUAGGGCCUAUGAUGUACAGCAGGCGUCAAACUUGCGGCCCGCGGCCCACGACGAAUAUUUUUGCAGCCCGGCCAAUAUAACGGCGCACCAUUUCUCUCCACUGAUACCAGCAGCCGAUGGCCACGUCACCAGUCUUGGACUGACUUGUUUGGUGUGCGCAACGGGAAAUAUUUCGCUUUCGGAGAACAAGAAAAAUAGGUUUAUUUGCGUUACGCUUAUUAAUUUGUGCAGUUAUGCCAUGUCUGAUCAGUUGAUGUUCGAGAAAAAAUAUUAAUUUUUAUUCAAAUGUUCUGUUAUUUUAUGUUAGCGAUGACUCAUUUAUUUCAGCCCUUUGUAUUCAGCAUGUCUCUACCGAAAUAAACCUACGUUUCUAUGAAAA